rnacentral:rRNA from 1 species
UUUUAUGGAGAGUUUGAUCCUGGCUCAGAGUGAACGCUGGCGGCGUGCCUAAUACAUGCAAGUCGAACGAUGAAGCUUCUAGCUUGCUAGAAGUGGAUUAGUGGCGCACGGGUGAGUAACGCAUAGGUCAUGUGCCUCUUAGUUUGGGAUAGCCAUUGGAAACGAUGAUUAAUACCAGAUACUCCCUACGGGGGAAAGAUUUAUCGCUAAGAGAUCAGCCUAUGUCCUAUCAGCUUGUUGGUAAGGUAAUGGCUUACCAAGGCUAUGACGGGUAUCCGGCCUGAGAGGGUGAACGGACACACUGGAACUGAGACACGGUCCAGACUCCUACGGGAGGCAGCAGUAGGGAAUAUUGCUCAAUGGGGGAAACCCUGAAGCAGCAACGCCGCGUGGAGGAUGAAGGUUUUAGGAUUGUAAACUCCUUUUGUUAGAGAAGAUAAUGACGGUAUCUAACGAAUAAGCACCGGCUAACUCCGUGCCAGCAGCCGCGGUAAUACGGAGGGUGCAAGCGUUACUCGGAAUCACUGGGCGUAAAGAGCGCGUAGGCGGGAUAGUCAGUCAGGUGUGAAAUCCUAUGGCUUAACCAUAGAACUGCAUUUGAAACUACUAUUCUAGAGUGUGGGAGAGGUAGGUGGAAUUCUUGGUGUAGGGGUAAAAUCCGUAGAGAUCAAGAGGAAUACUCAUUGCGAAGGCGACCUGCUGGAACAUUACUGACGCUGAUUGCGCGAAAGCGUGGGGAGCAAACAGGAUUAGAUACCCUGGUAGUCCACGCCCUAAACGAUGGAUGCUAGUUGUUGGAGGGCUUAGUCUCUCCAGUAAUGCAGCUAACGCAUUAAGCAUCCCGCCUGGGGAGUACGGUCGCAAGAUUAAAACUCAAAGGAAUAGACGGGGACCCGCACAAGCGGUGGAGCAUGUGGUUUAAUUCGAAGAUACACGAAGAACCUUACCUAGGCUUGACAUUGAGAGAAUCCGCUAGAAAUAGUGGAGUGUCUGGCUUGCCAGACCUUGAAAACAGGUGCUGCACGGCUGUCGUCAGCUCGUGUCGUGAGAUGUUGGGUUAAGUCCCGCAACGAGCGCAACCCCCUUUCUUAGUUGCUAACAGGUCAUGCUGAGAACUCUAAGGAUACUGCCUCCGUAAGGAGGAGGAAGGUGGGGACGACGUCAAGUCAUCAUGGCCCUUACGCCUAGGGCUACACACGUGCUACAAUGGGGUGCACAAAGAGAAGCAAUACUGCGAAGUGGAGCCAAUCUUCAAAACACCUCUCAGUUCGGAUUGUAGGCUGCAACUCGCCUGCAUGAAGCUGGAAUCGCUAGUAAUCGCAAAUCAGCCAUGUUGCGGUGAAUACGUUCCCGGGUCUUGUACUCACCGCCCGUCACACCAUGGGAGUUGUGUUUGCCUUAAGUCAGGAUGCUAAAUUGGCUACUGCCCACGGCACACACAGCGACUGGGGUGAAGUCGUAACAAGGUAACCGUAGGUGAACCUGCGGUUGGAUCACCUCCUUUCUAGA